rnacentral:rRNA from 1 species
CCUACGGGGUGCAGCAGUCGAGAAUCAUUCACAAUGGGGGAAACCCUGAUGGUGCGACGCCGCGUGGGGGAAUGAAGGUCUUCGGAUUGUAAACCCCUGUCAUGUGGGAGCAAAUUAAAAAGAUAGUACCACAAGAGGAAGAGACGGCUAACUCUGUGCCAGCAGCCGCGGUAAUACAGAGGUCUCAAGCGUUGUUCGGAAUCACUGGGCGUAAAGCGUGCGUAGGCUGUUUCGUAAGUCGUGUGUGAAAGGCGCGGGCUCAACCCGCGGACGGCACAUGAUACUGCGAGACGAGAGGAAUGGAGGGGGAACCGGAAUUCUCGGUGUAGCAGUGAAAUGCGUAGAUAUCGAGAGGAACACUCGUGGCGAAGGCGGGUUCCUGGACAUUAACUGACGCUGAGGCACGAAGGCCAGGGGAGCGAAAGGGAUUAGAUACCCUUGUAGUC